GGCAUGGGCCCUCAAGCAGUGCCUGAGUGCCCAAAUAGUCAGUCCGCCCCUGAUUGUGCUAGUAUGCACGGCAUAUUGUCACAUUGUGGCAGACUUGCCUGUCAAUUGAAGCCCUCCAGCGCUAAGCUGUCACCAGUUCCACUGGGCACAGGCUCUUCCAUCUUUGACUGAUUUUCCUUCUGGGUUUGCUCUCUCCAGCUGCUUGAAUGACCGGGCCACAAUGACAUCACUCCCAUGCAAGCCUUGCCCCCGAUCUCUGCUUUUAUUUGUUUUGGCAAUAGAGACUCUAGCUAUUAAUAUGUGACAGUAGAGGUUUUUUGGGAUCUUCUCCUAUGACCUCUUAAAGAGCUUAACACAGUGGGCUCAUUUCACUAAGUGUGAAACACUGCAUGAACAUCAGUGGUAAAUCAACACAUGUUAUUUUUCAAAAACAGUUAUCAAUUCAAUAAAAAACGCUUUUUGGAGAAUAUUUUACCGCAGACUACAGCAGAAAGUGUCAAAUUUAGGAGUGGUAUGGUGUGGGUGGUGUGAGGCUCCCCUAAAUCCUAGACCACAAACCAUACCAAGCCACAUGCCUUCAAAAUGGGAGGUACUUUCCCUGGCAAAGCCCCUUGUCCCCAUGUUCAUGAGGACAAGGACCCGGUGGUUGUGGGGCCUUACGGGUGGGGGGCUUAUCGGAAUAGCCCCUUUUAACAAUUAGGGUGACCCCAAAUACUUGCUUCCCAUAUGUGAAUGAGUAAGGGGUAUAUGUAAAGAAUGUCUCCCAGAAAUAAAACCACCAACAGUUCUUUAUUAAAAAAAAUAUAUAAAAAAUUUCCCUCAAGGUACAUCCAUUGUCAGUCACGUCGUCUACCAAUGCCGAUGACCCGCUUGAAAGAAAAAAACUGAUGCCUGCUGAGACACGACUUAUUCUGUCGCUUCCCUGACAUUGAUUGGCAUCUCUGGUUCAUGUCCAUAUUUGGUCUAUGACAUUACCCAAGUGACCUCGCCCCUUUGUAUACUUAAGCAGCGGGGAGAACUGGAAAUUUAAUUUGAUGACAGGGAAGCAAUGGUAUUGGCGGUGUCUUGGCGGGCGUUGUUUUUUUUUUCUUGUGGGUGGGUUGGUGAAUAUCCUUCAUUAUGAUUCACAAGGACCUGGAUCGCUGGACAGUGUGAUUGACAAUGUAUGUACACCCUGAGACUUUUAGAAAAUUAAUUUUUUUAUAAAGGAUUUGUCAAAAGUUUGGGUGUUUUUAUUUCUAGGGUACAUACUUUUUUGGUACAUACUCAUUCACAUAGGGUAUGGCAUCUGGGGGCCCCCUAUUGUUAAAGGGACUUAUAGGUUCCGAUAAGAUCCCUGCCUGUAGACCUCCACAACCCUGGACCAGUGGCCCUUGUCCUCAAAAACAUGGGGCCAGAUUCACAGACACUUACGUUACUCCGCGGCGCCGUAACGUAUCCCAUUUACGCCGUCGUAUCUCUUCUGUGAAUCUGGCCCAUGGUUUGGGGUGGGGCAUGCUCAUCCCCUUUUCUGGCCCUCCAGUCUGCAUGCUCAGAUAAGGGUCUGGUAUGGAUUUUGGGGAGACUUUCCUUUUUUUUGGCAUUGGGUCUCCCACUCUCCCUUUAACUCGACUCAAAGGGCAACACUCCCAUCCAUAAGGUUUACUAGGUCCAAUACUGUUGCUUUGCCUGCUAGUGGCAGCUGCUUUAGACAUCACUGUUGAUGCUCCUGCACAGGUUGCACACCUUUGUUGGUGAAAUAGUGUUGUAUUAUGAUAUUAAUAUUGAGUAGGGCAAUUGUUGCACUACUCUUUGUGUCAGUUCUAUGUACUGUAUAAUAACGACAGUGGAUGGGCAGAUUCUUCUGAAGCUCUGGCAUCUGAUCUUUUGAGUGCGAAACUAAAGCUGGCUACACAACUGGGGUAGAGUGCACAAAUCUUAGUUUUUAUAGCUUACAAACAAGGACAUUGUAUG